ACCCGGAAACAAACUAAAAUGAUAGGAGAAGGAAAAGAAGCAAUAUAUCCCAUAGAGCAGGCACAUUAAUUAGGCACUUCACUACAUAUAUGGUAUGCAAAGCUGAUUUUAUCCCAUUUGAUUUCAGACAACAAUACAAAUGAGAAAAAAAAGAUGACUUUAAAUGGAACGUUGAUGAUAUGCUGAAUGCAAGCAGAUUUAAAGCUCCUAACCUAG
rnacentral:lncRNA from 1 species